GGAGUUUGGGCCGUGUCUCAGUCCCAAUGUGGCCGAUCACCCUCUCAGGUCGGCUACCGAUCGUCGACUUGGUGGGCCGUUACCUCACCAACUAUCUAAUCGGACGCGAGCCCACCCUUCACCGGAUUGCUCCUUUGACCCCAAAGCCAUGCAGCUCCGUGGUCUUAUGCGGUAUUAGUACAACUUUCGCUGUGUUAUCCCCCUGUGAAGGACAGGUUGCUCACGCGUUACUCACCCGUCCGCCGCUAGAACAUACCGUUCCAAUUCCAUCCGAAAACUUCCUCUUCACUGUAUGUCCCCGCUCGACUUGCAUGUGUUAGGCACGCCGCCAGCGUGUCCUCGAGCCAGGAGUCAAACUACU
rnacentral:rRNA from 1 species